UGUAUCCUUUUAUAAAGAUAAAAAUUAAAGAAAGAUAAAGAUUUUUGAUAAUAUAAAUAAUUUAUAUUUUUAUGAAAAUCUGUCAUAUAUAUCGUCUGGUAAUAUUAGUACUGUUUGUUCGAUAAAUAAAUUCGUGAUAUCAUAUAUUAGAACUAAAUAUAUAUCAAAAUUAUGACAAUUAAAAUAAUUAAAAGUAAUAUUGUUAACAGGUGGAAAUGGACAAUGCAUAAAUAUUCGACAAUUAUAAUGGAAAUUAUAAUGGUCUAAUCUCGUGGUUUAUGUUCUAAAAACUAUAAAUACUGUGAUGGAAUAUUUAAAGAACUUGGUGAAAAAAGAAAAUUCAUGAACCGAAGCACAUGUAAACUUAUUACGGGCACAAUAGUUCAAUUUUUUUCUAUAGAAGAUAAAGUUGAGAUAAAGGUAAUAUCGUGUGGAUUUGUUCAAUUGCCAUUAAUAAAUUUGUAAUAAUUUGUAAUGAAAUGACAAUACUCGUUUCAUUAAAAGAAUCCAACUGCAUUGUGUUUUCUUGUCAAAAUGGUGAAGGAAGUUUUGACUCUAAUCUUCUUAAAUGUAAAAAAUACAUCCAAUAUGCCUGUCACUGCACACUGUCAACGUACACAGGCAACCAUAAGAUGUUAUGCAGAUGCAUUAACUUUAAAGCUAUUCUAUUCUAUCAUCUUUAAAUGUAAUGAAAGAGAGCAAGAAAUUUAGUUACCAGAUUUAGGAACUUUUGGUCCUUUGGUACAACAUGUAUCUAAAAAUAUAAUGACAGUAAAAUACUAAGCUUGGAUUAAACAUCCAUCAGGUUAAAAUAUUCAUUUUUCUCUUUUCAUUAGAAAAUUAAAACAGACAGAAUUUAACAUCAUCAAUAUUGUCUUUCUUCUAUGAUUAUAGUAAACAAGAAUUUAAAGUUGUGAAUAUUAGUUUAGAUGGAAAUGAAUUAAGCGUAUCAAAAGAACAUUAACAUUAACGUAUUACGUAACAGGAUGAACAAGAUAAAAUAGAUUUCGAUAAUCUAACUACGGAUGAUGCAGAUACACAUUUCGAGAUGGUACUUUAACAAUUGAAAGUUUAGAUGGAAAUAAAUUAUAUUUAGAUUCAACGACUUAAUUUAGAAUGUAUACAAUUGUAUCACAUAGUGUCGUUGAAAAUUUUGAAUCGGAUGUGAUCGUUUCUUAUUAGAGGAGAAUAUGAUAUCUAUCUAAUAUAUUUUUAUAUGUUUAAUAUAUAUUCAAUGAUAGGCAAUGACAGAGUGAAAUUAGAUAGAAGUUUGAAAAUGAUAUGAUAAACAAUACGUAAUUGAACAAAUGAGUGAUAAAAAAAAAUUGAAGAUAAAUUUAUAAGCGAAAAUAUAUAUAAAUCUGAUGAUAUCUUCGUUAACAAUAUUCCUGUGUAUUUAGAAACAUUGAAAAAAAAGAAAAAAAAAGAAGGAAGUGCAAUAUAGUACUAGCAAUUUGAAAAAUAAUUUGAUAAGGAAGAGGUAAAAGAGACCAAAGCUGAAA